rnacentral:rRNA from 1 species
CCUACGGGAGGCAGCAGUGGGGAAUCUUCCACAAUGGGGGAAACCCUGAUGCAGCGACGCCGCGUGGGUGAAGAAGCGCCUCGGCGCGUAAAGCCCUGUCAGCAGGGAAGAAAGUGACGGUAACUGAAGGAGAAGCCCCGGCUAACUACGUGCCAGCAGCCGCGGUAAGACGUAGGGGGCAAGCGUUAUCCGGAUUUACUGGGUGUAAAGGGGGCGCAGACGGCGAUGCAAGCCAGGAGUGAAAGCCCGGGGCCCAACCCCGGGACUGCUCUUGGAACUGCGUGGCUGGAGUGCAGGAGGGGCAGGCGGAAUUCCUGGUGUAGCGGUGAAAUGCGUAGAUAUCAGGAGGAACACCGGUGGCGAAGGCGGCCUGCUGGACUGCAACUGACGUUGAGGUCCGAAAGCGUGGGGAGCAAACAGGAUUAGAUACCCGAGUAGUC